rnacentral:rRNA from 1 species
ACGAUGAAUCUUCUAGCUUGCUAGAAGUGGAUUAGUGGCGCACGGGUGAGUAAUGCAUAGGUUAUGUGCCCUUUAGUCUGGGAUAGCCACUGGAAACGGUGAUUAAUACUGGAUACUCCCUACGGGGGAAAGUUUUUCGCUAAAGGAUCAGCCUAUGUCCUAUCAGCUUGUUGGUGAGGUAAUGGCUCACCAAGGCUAUGACGGGUAUCCGGCCUGAGAGGGUGAUCGGACACACUGGAACUGAGACACGGUCCAGACUCCUACGGGAGGCAGCAGUAGGGAAUAUUGCUCAAUGGGGGAAACCCUGAAGCAGCAACGCCGCGUGGAGGAUGAAGGUUUUAGGAUUGUAAACUCCUUUUGUUAGUGAAGAUUAUGACGGUAUCUAACGAAUAAGCACCGGCUAACUCCGUGCCAGCAGCCGCGGUAAUACGGAGGGUGCAAGCGUUACUCGGAAUCACUGGGCGUAAAGAGUGCGUAGGCGGGGUAAUAAGUCAGAUGUGAAAUCCUGUAGCUUAACUACAGAACUGCAUUUGAAACUGUUACUCUGGAGUGUGGGAGAGGUAGGUGGAAUUCUUGGUGUAGGGGUAAAAUCCGUAGAGAUCAAGAGGAAUACUCAUUGCGAAGGCGACCUGCUGGAACAUUACUGACGCUGAUGCACGAAAGCGUGGGGAGCAAACAGGAUUAGAUACCCUGGUAGUCCACGCCCUAAACGAUGGAUGCUAGUUGUUGCCUUGCUUGUCAGGGCAGUAAUGCAGCUAACGCAUUAAGCAUCCCGCCUGGGGAGUACGGUCGCAAGAUUAAAACUCAAAGGAAUAGACGGGGACCCGCACAAGCGGUGGAGCAUGUGGUUUAAUUC